rnacentral:rRNA from 1 species
UACAGAGGUCUCAAGCGUUGUUCGGAUUCAUUGGGCGUAAAGGGUGCGUAGGCGGCGCGGUAAGUCGGGUGUGAAAUCUCGGGGCUUAACUCCGAAACUGCAUUCGAUACUGCUGUGCUUGAGGACUGGAGAGGAGACUGGAAUUUACGGUGUAGCGGUGAAAUGCGUAGAUAUUGGGAGGAACACCAGUGGCGAAGGCGGCUCACUGGACCGGUACUGACGCUGAGGCGCGAAAGCGUGGGGAGCAAACGGG